UUCGUUGGAGGGACCAAGGUGACCGUCCUCGGUCAGCCCAAGUCUGCCCCCACAGUCAGCCUGUUCCCGCCCUCCUCUGAGGAGCUCCAGGACAACAAGGCCACAGUGGUGUAUCUCCUGAAUUCCUUCUACCCCGGCUCUGCGAAGGUCAACUGGAAGGCAGAUGGCACCACCAUCAAACAGGGCGUGCAGACCACACAGCCUGCCAAACAGAACGACAACAAAUACAUGGCCAGCAGCUACCUGACCCUGACUCCCCACCAGUGGAGGUCUCACCAGAGAAUCAGCUGCCAGGUCGAACACGAGGCAGGCAAUGUGGAGAAGAGUUUGGCCCCUUCAGAGUGUUUCUAGGACCCCGACCUCAGCCUCUCCUCUGGGGGCUGAAGUAGAAGGACUCUAAGGAAGAGUCUUCUUUGCUACUCCCCCCCCACUCCUGACUUUCUCUUUGAACCCUUUGUUGCUCAAUAAACUGUCCCUUAUUAAUCAAAA